rnacentral:rRNA from 1 species
GGCUCAGGACGAACGCUGGCGGCGUGCCUAACACAUGCAAGUCGAACGGAGUUAAGCCCUUCGGGACUUAACUUAGUGGCGAACGGGUGAGUAACGCGUGAGGAACCUGCCUUUCAGUGGGGGACAACAGUUGGAAACGACUGCUAAUACCGCAUGAUGCUUUUGAGAGACAUCUCUUGGAAGCCAAAGCUUAAUGUGCUGAAAGAUGGCCUCGCGUCUGAUUAGCUAGUUGGUGGGGUAACGGCUCACCAAGGCGACGAUCAGUAGCCGGUCUGAGAGGAUGAACGGCCACAUUGGGACUGAGAUACGGCCCAGACUCCUACGGGAGGCAGCAGUGGGGAAUAUUGGGCAAUGGGCGAAAGCCUGACCCAGCAACGCCGCGUGAAGGAAGAAGGCUUUCGGGUUGUAAACUUCUUUUACCAGGGACGAAGGACGUGACGGUACCUGGAGAAAAAGCAACGGCUAACUACGUGCCAGCAGCCGCGGUAAUACGUAGGUUGCAAGCGUUGUCCGGAUUUACUGGGUGUAAAGGGGCGUGUAGGCGGAGAUGCAAGUUAGGAGUGAAAUCUAUGGGCUCAACCCAUAAACUGCUUCUAAAACUGUAUCCCUUGAGUGUCGGAGAGGCAAGCGGAAUUCCUAGUGUAGCGGUGAAAUGCGUAGAUAUUAGGAGGAACACCAGUGGCGAAGGCGGCUUGCUGGACGACAACUGACGCUGAGGCGCGAAAGCGUGGGGAGCAAACAGGAUUAGAUACCCUGGUAGUCCACGCUGUAAACGAUGAAUACUAGGUGUGGGGGGACUGACCCCCUCCGUGCCGCAGUUAACACAAUAAGUAUUCCACCUGGGGAGUACGACCGCAAGGUUGAAACUCAAAGGAAUUGACGGGGGCCCGCACAAGCAGUGGAUUAUGUGGUUUAAUUCGACGCAACGCGAAGAACCUUACCAGGACUUGACAUCCAACUAACGAAGUAGAGAUACAUCAGGUGCCCUUCGGGGAAAGUUGAGACAGGUGGUGCAUGGUUGUCGUCAGCUCGUGUCGUGAGAUGUUGGGUUAAGUCCCGCAACGAGCGCAACCCCUAUUGUUAGUUGCUACGAAAGAGCACUCUAGCGAGACUGCCGUUGACAAAACGGAGGAAGGCGGGGACGACGUCAAAUCAUCAUGCCCCUUAUGUCCUAGGCUACACACGUAAUACAAUGGUGGCCAACAGAGGGAAGCAAAGCCGCGAGGUGGAGCAAAUCCCUAAAAGCCAUCUCAGUUCGGAUUGCAGGCUGCAACUCGCCUGCAUGAAGCUGGAAUAACUAGUAAUCGCGGAUCAGCAUGCCGCGGUGAAU